rnacentral:rRNA from 1 species
UGGGGAAUUUUCCGCAAUGGGUGAAAGCCUGACGGAGCAACGCCGCGUGAGGGAUGAAGGCCUCUGGGCUGUAAACCUCUUUUAUCAAGGAAGAAGAUCUGACGGUACUUGAUGAAUAAGCCACGGCUAAUUCCGUGCCAGCAGCCGCGGUAAUACGGGAGUGGCAAGCGUUAUCCGGAAUUAUUGGGCGUAAAGCGUCCGCAGGCGGCCCUUCAAGUCUGCUGUUAAAAAGUGGAGCUUAACUCCAUCAUGGCAGUGGAAACUGUUGGGCUUGAGUGUGGUAGGGGCAGAGGGAAUUCCCGGUGUAGCGGUGAAAUGCGUAGAUAUCGGGAAGAACACCAGUGGCGAAGGCGCUCUGCUGGGCCAUCACUGACGCUCAUGGACGAAAGCCAGGGGAGCGAAAGGGAUUAGAUACCCCUGUAGUCA